CCUACGGGAGGCAGCAGUAGGGAAUUUUCGGCAAUGGGCGAAAGCCUGACCGAGCAACGCCGCGUGAGUGAUGAAGGCCUUCGGGUUGUAAAGCUCUGUUGUUAGGGAAGAAUGAUCAGGAUAGGAAAUGAUCUUGAAGUGACGGUACCUAACCAGAAAGCCACGGCUAACUACGUGCCAGCAGCCGCGGUAAUACGUAGGUGGCAAGCGUUAUCCGGAAUUAUUGGGCGUAAAGGGUGCGUAGGCGGUUUACUAAGUCUUAUGUGAAAUCUCAGAGCUUAACUCUGGGCUGCAUAAGAAACUAUUAGACUAGAGUGCAGGAGAGGGCGACGGAAUUCCAUGUGUAGCGGUAAAAUGCGUAGAUAUAUGGAGGAACACCGGUGGCGAAGGCGGUUGCCUGGCCUGUUACUGACGCUGAGGCACGAAAGCGUGGGGAGCAAACAGGAUUAGAUACCCUGGUAGUCCACGCCCUAAACGAUGCGAACUGGACGUUGGGAGCAAUUAGGCUCUCAGUGUCGAAGCUAACGCGUUAAGUUCGCCGCCUGGGGAGUACGGUCGCAAGACUGAAACUCAAAGGAAUCGACGGGGGCCCGCACAAGCGGUGGAGUAUGUGGUUUAAUUCGAUGCAACGCGAAGAACCUUACCUGGCCUUGACAUCCACGGAAGUCUGCAGAGAUGCGGAUGUGCCUUCGGGAACCGUGAGACAGGUGCUGCAUGGCUGUCGUCAGCUCGUGUCGUGAGAUGUUGGGUUAAGUCCCGCAACGAGCGCAACCCUUGUCCUUAGUUGCCAGCGAGUAAUGUCGGGAACUCUAAGGAGACUGCCGGUGACAAACCGGAGGAAGGUGGGGAUGACGUCAAAUCAUCAUGCCCCUUAUGUCCUGGGCUACACACGUAAUACAAUGGCAACGACAGAGGGCAGCUACCUCGCGAGAGCAAGCGAAUCCCUAAACGUUGUCUCAGUUCGGAUUGCAGGCUGCAACUCGCCUGCAUGAAGUCGGAAUUGCUAGUAAUGGCAGGUCAGCAUACUGCCGUGAAUACGUUCCCGGGCCUUGUACACACC
rnacentral:rRNA from 1 species